UCUCCCUCCAUCUCACUCUCUCAUUCAUUCUCCCACCCUCAGCACUUUCUAGGCCCCUCUUUUCCACAAAAAUUUGCUGUGAUCUGACUAAGCAGUGCCAUGAUUCUUCUCUCUAGUCAUAGCCCUUUUCAAUCCAGGGAAAAUUUGGAGGGAAAAAAGGGCUAACCUGAAAAGCAAUAUCUCUAGACCAUUUCUUCUCUUCUGGAAGCAAAGAAACUACAGAGCAAACAGGCAGUUUUGUGACAUAAGCUGUCUCAGAAGUCAUCCACCAGACAUUUAAAUAGCCCCUUGAGAGGCCCAUUGGGAUGAAAUUGAGGCUUCCUCUGAUCCAGUUGAUUCUGAUGACUCUAGCCUUGGUUGGCAUCUUGACUGCAGCCAGCUUCAUGACAGACUGUGGGCCAGAAUCCCCAGCUCAGUCACUCCUGAAUUUGUGACACACAAAAACUGGGUUCCUCUUGGGUGCUUUUAAUACAGUUACUCAACUUCAUAACUCCACAUUUGGACAUUGGAAAACAGUUCUUUCUUGUGCAUGUGGUAGAGGGUCUACUGAGAUACAGGAAUUUCUUCCUUGCUCUCAUGCUGGGAUUUUCAUAAUGGUCCUCCCAUUUUUCAAACUCUUCCAAGAUGUGUUGACCAAGUUAGGGUAAGAUAGAUUCUCUAGCAUCUGAUGUUAUGUACUAUCUUUAGUAAAAU